rnacentral:rRNA from 1 species
AACGAACGCUGGCGGCAGGCCUAACACAUGCAAGUCGAGCGCCCCGCAAGGGGAGCGGCGCACGGGUGCCUAACGCGUGGGAAUAUGCCCUUGGGUGCGGAACAACGUCUGGAAACGGACGCUAAUACCGCAUAAUGACUCCGGUCCAAAGAUUUAUCGCCCAAGGAUUAGCCCGCGUUGGAUUAGCUAGUUGGUGAGGUAACGGCUCACCAAGGCAACGAUCCAUAGCUGGUCUGAGAGGAUGAUCAGCCACACUGGAACUGAGACACGGUCCAGACUCCUACGGGGGGCAGCAGUGAGGAAUAUUGGCCAAUGGGCGAAAGCCUGAUCCAGCCAUGCCGCGUGAGUGAUGAAGACCUUCGGGUUGUAAAGCUCUUUCGGUUGUGAAGAUUAUGACGGUAGCAACAGAAGAAGCCCCGGCUAAAUUCGUGCCAGCCGCCGCCGUAA